UAGAUGCCCUCUCUGUUGGUGUGAGA
rnacentral:piRNA from 1 species